rnacentral:rRNA from 1 species
GCUUGUCUCAAAGAUUAAGCCAUGCAUGUCUAAGUAUAAACAAUUUUGUACUGUGAAACUGCGAAUGGCUCAUUAUAUCAGUUAUAGUCUACUUGGCAGUACCUUACUACUUGGAUACCCGUAGUAAUUCUAGAGCUAAUACAUGCGUAAAUACCCAACUGCUUGUCGGACGGGUAGCAUUUAUUAGAUUGAAACCAAUGCGGCCUCGGUCGGUAUUGUGUUGAAUCAUAAUAACUGUGCGGAUCGCUUCACAGCGAUAAGUCAAUUGAGUUUCUGCCCUAUCAGCUUUGGAUGGUAGGAUAUGGGCCUACCAUGGCGUUAACGGGUAACGGGGAAUUAGGGUUUGAUUCCGGAGAGGGAGCCUUAGAAACGGCUACCACAUCCAAGGAAGGCAGCAGG